AUCUAGAAAGCAUGCUCUGCCCUGUAGUUUCUUUUCUUUUUUUUUUUAAUUUUAUGGAAAAAGGCAAAACAAAAUUUCAUAAUAAAAUAACAGGAGAACAGCAGCAGUUAAUACAUUUUAUAUUGCGCUGUGGCUUCAAUAACCACUGGAUGCACUCUUUUGAAUGCAACUCAUACUUUCUCCAUCAAGCCAUGAAGGCAAAAUAGCAGGCCCUCAAUACAAAUACCUCGUUUUCUUUCUCCAUUCAUCUAUUGAUGGAUAUUUGGGAUGUUUCCAAGAUUUAGCUGUGAUAGUGUGUGCUGCUAUGAUCAUGGAAUUAUAAUAUCGCGUCCCCAAGACAGCAUGGGUGUUGGGUGAGCCCGUCAACACAAAUGAGGCAGGAACCAGCGAACCUGUAACAAGUGUGACUCCCCAGCAUGCUGUCCCUGUGUGCUUCCUGAACUGGUGUGAUCUCCUUCCCCAGCCUGGUAUUCACUCCCAUGGCCUCUCCUCCUCUCAGAUGAUCCAGUGUUUGCCAUUCUCCCAGGCUCAGGGAAGCCUUGCCUGUCAUUGCAGUGUGUGGACAUCCUCCUCCCUGAAUUCACCUGCUGUGUCAGCCAGCGAUUAAGCACACACUGCUCUGUGUUUUGCUUACAUUUUCAUGUUGUAUAUUCUUUACCCCCAAUAGAUUAUAAUUCCUACAAGUAAGGGACUGCUUCUUCUAUGCUUCAUAUAACCUGGAGAUAUCAAGAAAUAAAUAUUAAGUAUUUUUGAACAAAUAAAUAGAGUACCUUAGCCAAGGUUACAAUAAGUAAGACAAGGAUAGCUUUUAUAAACAAUCAGUGUGUUCUAUGCAGGAUCAUGUAGUAGAAUAUAUGUUACUCUUGCGCAUUGUUUGAUAGUUUACAAUUUGAAAAACUAGUUCUCUGUAAGUACUUUCAGUAGUUACAUCAGUACUCACAUUUAGAAAUAAUGGGGCAGGGCAAUCAUAUGACAUAUUAUUCUGCAGCUUGCAUUUAUUCCUCAAAGACAUGUAUAAAAACUUUUCUACAUUAGUACACAGACCUUUUCUAUACUAGCACCUAUAGUAGUAAAUAGAUUUCCAUUUUACCUACAGCACAGCUUUCUUCUAUUAUGAAUGCAUUAUUGCUUAUUUUUAAAGUGCAUGAAAUCAAAUCAUAGUUUUCCUACAUGUACUAAUGGAUGUCCAUACGUACUUA